CUGGCAGUGUCGGCUGAAGUCCGAGUCGGCUGAAGCACAGUAAACACAGUCGGCCCGAUCCUGGCUGAGUGCUGCCACUGUCGGCGGAGUUUCAGGUCGGCUGAGGCACUGUCCCCUUGAAUGGGCCGACACUGACACGCAGUAGUUGGGCUGAUUACUGAGUGUCUAUUGGCCCGAUUGGGGUUUGAUUUCUUUUACUGUCUAUGGGUUUGAUGGGCUACUGCCAGUUUUCGAAUCAAUCUCGGCAGACGGAUUUCAUACAGUGUGUGGCCCGAUACUUCAGGAACGAACACUGAUCAGUAUCGUGGCUGUUGGCGGCAAAAAUGAAACAUUUAGCGACGGACGCUAAACGUACAUGGUCCAAUUCUGUAAAGUGACUGUCGGCCCAUUACAAGUGGAAGAGCCACGAGCAGAGCAACUGUUCAGUUUGAAACCAGCAGGACGGCGCGAAACUGUCUCGUUUUGGACACUGCCUGUGAAUCCAGGCCACACUGACCAGAGACCUGCCUGCACUCCUUUGGAUGAAGAAGGCUACCCGUGUAUACAUGUGUGAACCAUUUCUUGUGUUGGAAAAACAGGAGAAUAAGUAAUAUGUUUUUGUUUAGAUGAGCCAAAUCAUAGGAAUCAGCUUUCAUCUAGGCCUGUGUUUUGUGAUGUGUCAUUUUUAGAUGCUUUUGGUUUGCCUCAUCCAUUAUGUCAGCAAAGAACAGGAGUGGGCAGGAAACAUGCGCUGUUGAAAACAUGGCCAACCAACUGGAGCACCCACAAGGCUCUUGUGAAGGAAGUCCACAAGCCUUUGUGCUUCAGGAUGGAUGGAAAGAACUCUUUGAUCAACCCCUACAGAGAGCUGAGGUGGCUAUCUUUUGGAGACACCCCCGGCUGGUAGUGCUGCUGAAGCUGGUGGAGGCAACAAUGAAGCGGCAACAGAAAGAGAAGGCAGGUGGCAAAGGUUGCUGCUAUUGAAAAAUACUUUGAGAGUGAGUAUGUGUGCAUGUAUGUAGCUGGGUAGGUCAUGGUACAUGGUACAAAAAUACAGAAUUUAAAGCACUAGCACUUAACACUUAACUCACAACCCACAACUACUGACAAUGGAAUUACUCUUUUAGAGUGAGUGAGUGAGGGAGAGAGAUAGAAUAUUUCUGUAAAUGUUUAAUGUUAAUUUAGAAUAAUUUAUUUCUUUGAAUCAUUAUACAGUUUUAAAAUGUUUAAUUGUUUGUGUUUUUGUAUAUGAAAGAAGUCGAUUGUUGUAGAUAAAAGUAGAUUGUAUAUUUUAACUUGUUUAAUUUCUAAAGUGUAUAUAUGUAAAAGCUUGUAUAAUUUUUAAAUGUUUGUUUUAUUUGCAAGGUUGUGUUUGUCAAACUUGUUAAUAAAAGUAGCUUGUGCUUUUAAUUACUAGUUCUGGAUUUGUGUUUAUUUUCAAGUACUUUUGGUAGUUAAUGGGCCACAUGUGGCCCGGGGACCCA